rnacentral:rRNA from 1 species
CACGUAGGGCGCAAGCGUUGUCCGGAAUUAUUGGGCGUAAAGAGCUCGUAGGUGGUUCGGUAAGUCGGAUGUGAAAUCUCCAGGCUCAACCUGGAGGGGUCAUUCGAUACUGCCGUGACUAGAGUUCGGUAGGGGAGUGUGGAAUUCCUGGUGGAGCGGUGAAAUGCGCAGAUAUCAGGAGGAACACCCGUAGCGAAGGCGGCACUCUGGGCCGAUACUGACACUGAGGAGCGAAAGCGUGGGGAGCGAACAGG